GUUGACGGUCCUUAAGUAUCAAAUUUAAUUAUCAAAUAAACAAAGAAAAGGAUCCAAAUGAAAUCAACAUCUAGACUUAGGGUUUUAUCUGACAGAAUUCCACGAGUUUUGGUGUUUGUCUAUUUCUGCAGGGGGUUAUCAUGAAAUAAGGAAGAAAGGCCCACAUGUCGGGAUUACAUAGAGAUAUCAACCCACCGCGCAAUUUUCUACCAUCUAGAAGACUCCAGAAGCCACGGGAAGGAAGCGGAGCCC
rnacentral:lncRNA from 1 species